UCCCAGAUGGCUCAUUGUAAAGAAUCUGCCUGCCAAGUAGGAGACUCGGGUUUGAUUCCUGGGUUGGGAA
rnacentral:tRNA from 1 species